rnacentral:rRNA from 1 species
UCCUACGGGGCGCAGCAGUGGGGGAUAUUGCACAAUGGGGGGAACCCUGAUGCAGCGACGCCGCGUGAAGGAAGAAGUAUCUCGGUAUGUAAACUUCUAUCCGCAGGGAAGAAAAUGACGGUACCUGACGAAGAAGCCCCGGCUAACUACGUGCCAGCAGCCGCGGUAAUACGUAGGGGGCAAGCGUUAUCCGGAUUUACUGGGUGUAAAGGGGGCGUAGGUGGCAUGGUAAGCCAGAAGUGAAAACCCAGGGCUCAACUCUGUGGAU